AAAAAAAAAAGUAAUUAAUUAAUUAACUAUUAAUAAUUAAAUAUUUUGUUUGGUAUCUCGAACAAGGGAAAGAAAAUGUAUAUGACUGAAAUGUUGUAUAAUUAGUCCCCUUUAGAGGUCACCGUCUGAGGCUUAGUAAAGCAAUAGAUACAAUCUUUCAUGUUCAUACGCAUCUUCGCUAGCAGAGUGGUUAUCGUGUUGGCUUAAGAAGCCUGGGAAGGCUUUUGCCCACGAGUUGGAAUCCAAGUCGUUCACUUUUUAAAAAAUUUAAUACAUUCAAAAAAGUAUCACCCAGAUACUCUUUUCUUUCUCCCCCACCCCUUCCCAACUGGUCCAGACAAGUGAAAGGAUCAUAGCGUAGUGAGAAAGCUAAAAACAUAAAAUUGUGCUAAACAAAAACAAUUGGUUGUAUAUAUAUAUAUACUAACCGGAUAUUACUUGUCGCUCUGUCACCCGCGGAAAACUCGCUCUAAUAGAUAGAAUGACUGUGACAAAUGAAAUAAAUCUAUUUGACUUACGAUCUUUUUGUAUGGUUUUUAUUUUUCAAUUUUGCUUUCUAUUAUAGUGUUUGUAUAGCUAUGUCAUUAAAACGAGAGUACUCUCGUGGGCGACGUAGUAAAUAAUUUUAAUAUAUGUAUAUCUUUAUUUUAUGAUAGGUAUGUACAUUCAAGAAUUAAUGGACCUCAUUCAGCAAUCGUAAUCAAACAACAUUUAGCCACGUGAUUCUCUAUCUCUUCUAUACAAACAGGCUAUCAUGUGACAAGUUUUUUUUCGUUGUUUCAUCAAUAUUAUCACGUGGCUAAAUGUUGUUUGUUUACCUUUGGUGAAUGAGGUCCAUUAUUUGUGUAUUAUAAAAUCGGUGCUGAAAAGUUUGUUCAAGCGGUUGUUUAUUGUUAUUG